GUGUUCGCUUUGGCAACACAUGUAUUAAAUUGGAAUGAUACAGAGAAGAUUAGCAUGACCCCUGCACAAGGAUGACACACAAAUUUGUGAAGCAUCCCAUAUUAAA
ensembl:snRNA U6 U6 spliceosomal RNA